rnacentral:rRNA from 1 species
GUAGUCCACGCCGUAAACGAUGAUAACUCGCUGUUGGGCUUUAUUGCUCAGUGGCCAAGCGAAAGCGAUAAGUUAUCCACCUGGGGAGUACGGCCGCAAGGCUGAAACUCAAAGGAAUUGACGGGGGCCCGCACAAGCGGAGGAACAUGUGGUUUAAUUCGAUGAUACGCGAGGAACCUUACCCGGGCUCGAACGGCUUUAGAAUAACUUAGAGAUAGGUUAGCCAGCAAUGGCUGAAGUCGAGGUGCUGCAUGGUUGUCGUCAGCUCGUGCCGUGAGGUGUCGGCUUAAGUGCCAUAACGAGCGCAACCCUUGUUGUUAGUUGCCAGCGGGUGAUGCCGGGGACUCUAACGAGACUGCCAGCGUAAGCUGUGA